AUUGAACGCUGGCGGCAGGCCUAACACAUGCAAGUCGAACGGUAACAGGAAGCAGCUUGCUGCUUCGCUGACGAGUGGCGGACGGGUGAGUAAUGUCUGGGAAACUGCCUGAUGGAGGGGGAUAACUACUGGAAACGGUAGCUAAUACCGCAUAACGUCGCAAGACCAAAGAGGGGGACCUUCGGGCCUCUUGCCAUCGGAUGUGCCCAGAUGGGAUUAGCUAGUAGGUGGGGUAACGGCUCACCUAGGCGACGAUCCCUAGCUGGUCUGAGAGGAUGACCAGCCACACUGGAACUGAGACACGGUCCAGACUCCUACGGGAGGCAGCAGUGGGGAAUAUUGCACAAUGGGCGCAAGCCUGAUGCAGCCAUGCCGCGUGUGUGAAGAAGGCCUUCGGGUUGUAAAGUACUUUUCAGCGGGGAGGAAGGCGAUAAGGUUAAUAACCUUGUCGAUUGACGUUACCCGCAGAAGAAGCACC
rnacentral:rRNA from 1 species